rnacentral:rRNA from 1 species
UACGGAGGGAGCUAGCGUUGUUCGGAAUUACUGGGCGUAAAGCGCACGUAGGCGGCUUUGUAAGUUAGAGGUGAAAGCCCAGGGCUUAACCCUGGAAUUGCCUUUAAGACUGCAUCGCUAGAAUCGUGGAGAGGUGAGUGGAAUUCCGAGUGUAGAGGUGAAAUUCGUAGAUAUUCGGAAGAACACCAGUGGCGAAGGCGACUCACUGGACACGUAUUGACGCUGAGGUGCGAAAAGCGUGGGGAGCAAACAGG